rnacentral:misc_RNA from 1 species
GAUGAAGAACGCAGCGAAAUGCGAUACUUGGUGUGAAAUGCAGAAUCCCGUGAACCAUCGAGUCUUUGAACGCAAGUUGCGCCCGAAGCCAUUAGGCCGAGGGCACGCCUGCCUGGGCGUCACACGUCGUUGCCCCCCUAUCUACUCCUUCGGGAUUGCGGGGGGCGGAUGAUGGCCUCCCGUGCGCCUCGCCGCGCGGUUGGCAUAAAUGCCAAGUCCUCGGCGACGCACGCCACGACAAUCGGUGGUUGCGAAACCUCGGUUGCCCGUCGUGUGCGGUCGUCGCGCAUCGAGGGCUCGAAAAAAUUGCCGGGUUCCGGCUCGGCUUUCAACGCGACCCCAGGUCAGGCGGGGUUACCCGCUGAAUUUAAGCAUAUAAUAAGCGGAGGA